rnacentral:lncRNA from 1 species
GGGCCCUUUGCCAGACCAGGAAGAGAGUACAGGAGUCACCCUACACCACCACCAUAUCACCACUCACACCCACCCGGGCUAAAAGGGGCAGUUCCAUUCUCCCUCCAUAAGAGUGGCUCCACAGUCAGGAAUUAAUCAUUUGUUUUUUUUUUUCUCGACUGCAGGUCAUCCAGCAGUGUAAGGAGUAGGUGGAGGACACACUCUCUCACACACACAACACAGUAGAACAUGUCAGACUCAGAGACCGCAGCUCCCGCCGAGACGCCCGUCCCCGCCGCCUGUGAGGCCAUCAAGGCUGAUCUGGACAAAUGUAUAAAGGAGAAUGGAGAAGCAGCGUGUAAGGAGCUGAUGGAGGCCUUCGCUGCCUGUGUAAAGAGCAGCGCUGAGGGGUCCUGAGGAACUCCACACACAGGACAUGUAAAGUCCACUGCACUGAGUCCUCCACCUUCCCAGCAUUCCCUUCAGCACUGGACUGAACGACUCUGGUGGGAUUUGGCAGCAGAACCCACAUGACCUUUUCCCUCCUCCUCCCCCCCUCGUCUAAGCCCCACCCACCUAUAGAGCUUAAAUGAUUUCUUCCUGCCCCUCCUUUCCCUUGCAGCCAAAUGCAUCGAUCAGAUCUGUAGACAGUUUGGGAGCCCGUGGGUUUUAUGUAAAUUGUCUGUUC